GAGUGUGAAAAAGCAAAAACACAACAGCGACACACAGAGUAUCACACUACGUAUCUAUGUACUUUGGAGAAUACUAUAACAUAAUCACACUUGUUUCUCAGAGAGAGAGAGAGUAUUGAGGUUUUCAAACUCUUCCUUAAUUUUCUCACAUUUUGUUUCUCUCUUACCUAUUCACAAGUUUCAUAUUUUCCAAUUUUCAUCUCCACAUCACACAUAACCAUAACCCUUUUCUUUUCAUUGCCCCGUUUUUCUCUCUGCUUGCAUUUUUCUUCGUUCUGUAAAAGGGUUUGUUUCGUUUCUUAGAAUUACAUCAGAUUCUUGUCAAAGUUUCUACCUUUGUCCUUUUCUGUUGCGUCUCUUCAGUUCCACUUGUUGCUGUAUAGUUGUUGUGGCUUCAAAGGUGGAAGCUUUUCCCUUUUUGAGAAAAUGGGGUUUUCGAAUUUUGAGUUGCAUGUGCAAAUCUAUGUCAUUUCCAUGGUGAUUUUCAUUGGAACUUUCUGUGUUGGAGACACUGACCCUGUUGAUGUUGCAGCAAUCAAUCGUCUAUAUGUUGCUAUGGACUCACCACCUCUUGAAGGGUGGAAGCCUGAGGGAGGGGAUCCAUGUUUAGAACUUUGGCAAGGUGUGGAUUGUGUCUUCUCCAACAUAACUGCCAUACGACUAGGCGGUAUGAAUUUAGGUGGAGAGCUUGGCAGUAGUUUGGAUUUCCCAUCCAUUAUAGCAAUUGAUCUUAGCAACAACCACAUCGGAGGUGCCAUUCCAUUCACUUUACCCCCUACUCUGAGGACCUUGUCUCUGUCAGGAAAUCGGUUAAAUGGAAGUAUUCCAGAUGCCUUAUCCUUAUUAACACAAUUGUCGAACUUGGAUUUGGCCAGUAACAACUUGAGCGGUCCGCUGCCAUCCUCAAUAGGGAGUUUAACGUCUCUUACAACAUUAAACUUGCAGAACAAUACACUUUCAGGGACCCUUUUUGUUUUGCAGGACCUUGCUCUUCAUGAUUUGGAUAUAGAGAAUAAUUUAUUCUCUGGACCAGUUCCUCCAAAUUUGCUGAGCAUCCCUAAUUUCAGAAAAGAUGGAAAUCCAUUUAAUACUACUAUUAUUCCAUCACCGCCUGCUGCGGCCCCUUCACCUGUAGCUAUGAGUCCAUUCCCUGGAGAAUCACCUUGGAGUGUGGCAUAUAGUCCUGCCCUGACAACAGUGAAGCCUACAAGUGGUUCUGCUAAGUCUUUUCUUGCUAAGCACGCCAUUUUGAUUGCUGUUGCCGGUCUUGUAGUAUUUAUUGCUUUGGGAAUUUGUCUUUUUAUGAUGUGGUGCUGUAAGAGAGAGCCAGAAAAUAAAAAAUCUCAGAAUCUUGACGUGGAGGGUUUUCCAAUGACAUUGCAUAAACCUACGCGCAAUGACACUACUUUUGGAGCAACUAAUCAAGAUGGAAAAGUUGAGAAAGCAUCACGUUUAAAUGAAGUACCAAAUAGAAUUACGAACAUGAUUCCAAAGGUUCAAGAUGAACUAGUAUAUAUCAACACAGUAUCUGCAACUUCAGAACCCAAUGAUGGUUCCAAACCUUCAACCUUGCAGCCACCACCACAUUCUCUGUCGAGCAUUCCUGGUGCAAAGGUCAUCGCCAAUCCAGCUGUAACCACCAAAGGUACUGAAAGACAAGCUAUGGCAAGUUCCAUCAAAAUGUAUACUGUUGCAUCACUUCAGCAAUAUACAAAUAGCUUUUCUGACGAAAACCGUAUCGGGGAAGGCACUCUUGGAUCGGUAUAUAGGGCUGAACUCCCUGAUGGAAAGCUGUUAGCAGUGAAGAAACUGGAUGCUACUGCUUUCAAGGACCAGAAUGAUGAACAGUUUCUUCAAUUGGUAUCCAGCAUCUCCAAAAUUCAGCAUGCCAAUAUUGCAAAGCUUGUGGGAUAUUGUGCCGAGUAUAACCAACGAUUACUUAUAUACGAAUAUUGUAGUAAUGGGACCCUACAUGAUACACUGCAUGGUGAUGACGAACAUUGUACUAAAUUUCCUUGGAAUGCACGCAUUAAGGUGGCACUUGGAGCUGCAAGGGCUUUAGAGUAUCUGCAUGAGAAUUUUCGGCCACCGAUUGUGCACCGAAACUUUAGAUCUGCUAAUGUUCUCCUGAAUGAAAAGUUGGAAGUGUGUGUCUCUGAUUGUGGAUUAGGUCAUUUGCUAUCUUCUGGCACUGUUGGUCAGUUAUCUGGACGCCUCCUCACAGCUUACGGUUACAGCGCUCCAGAAUUCGAGUCUGGAAGUUAUACACAGCAAAGCGAUGUCUUCAGUUUUGGAGUCGUAAUGCUAGAACUCCUCACUGGAAGAAAAUCCUACGACAAGUCACGGCCUCGUGCUGAACAGUUUUUGGUCAGAUGGGCAGUCCCUCAACUCCAUGACAUUGAUGCAUUGUCAAAAAUGGUUGACCCCCGCUUAAAUGGAUCCUAUUCUAUGAAGUCGUUGUCACGUUUUGCAGAUAUUGUUUCUUCAUGUAUUCAGCGUGAACCCGAAUUCCGACCAGCCAUGUCUGAAAUUGUCCAGGAUCUCUUGCUAACAAUGUAAAAAGAUGUGUACGAUGAACUCCCGUUCCAUAGCCGCCUAGAUUUGGUUCCCAAUUUUUUUGAACUUUACCUAUCUAUUCUUCAUUAAUUUGAAGAAUGCUGUGAGGUAGCUUUAUGCAUCACGGUUCAUCAUACGACAAAGAUGUCACGACUCAGUUCAGAACGAUUUAGUGCAUGCUUGGAAUCACAGUAAAUUUGGCCAAAUCACUGGUACAAUGAUUUUGUUGAAACUAUAAAAUGUAGUUUUUUCUUCAAAAUUUCGCAUGUUUUCCGUAAUUCUGUUAAAUUCACCUCGAAUCCAAGCAUGUUUAUAUCAUCUCAUCUUUUGCACAAUUGAUUUGGACACAUGAUUUUGGGCAAUGUCAUGUUAUAAAGGAGGGUUAUUUGUUGUUGUUGGGCAGCAAGUAUAAAUCAACAACAAUGUGUCACUCUUCAAAAGAUAUUGGUCAUUUUUUUACGGAUAUAUUGGUUUGUAACCCCAAAAAUUAUUGGUUGUUUUUGCCUUUUGGGUUUGUUUAAGAUAUUGGUUGUUUGGACAGAAAUGCUAUGUCUCGAAAGCAACUCACUCGUAGUCUGUUACUAUGUGCUAUUUUGGAUUUUUUAUAUCAAAUUUUGGAGCAUGUACUUAUCAAAAAAAUGUAACCGUGCUAUAUUUGUGUAUAUUUAGAUUCAUGUUUUAUAUUA